UAAUAGUUAUGUUCUUUAAAUCUAAAGAAUUUGGCGGUGUUUUAUUCUAUUCAGAGGAAUUUGUCCCAUAAUCGAUAACCCCCGUUUUAUCUUACUUUAAUUUGUUUUCAGUAUGUAUAUCGCCGUUAUAAGUUUAUUUUUUUAGGAUUAUUAAUUUACUUUUAUUAUUAUUUUAAUAUAUUUCAGGUCAAGGUGCAGUUUAUAUUUAAGUGGAGGUGAAUUACAAUAUUAUUUGAAUAAAUGGAUUUAUUUUUUAAAAUAUUUAAUGAAGGUGGAUUUGUUAGUAAUUUUAAUGAUAUUAUUAAUUUGAUUUUAGAUCUAAAAUAAGCACACAUCGCCCGAUCGCUCUA
rnacentral:rRNA from 1 species